rnacentral:snRNA from 1 species
GUACUCAUUUCAGCAGCACAUAUACUAAAAUUGGAACAAUAAAGAGAAUAUUAGCAUGGUCCCUGAGCAAGGAUGACAUACAACUUCAUGAAGCAUUCCAUAUUUUU